rnacentral:rRNA from 1 species
AUGUGGUCUUCUCCCUCUCAUUCCCAAUGCUCAUAUUUCGGCCUCAGCCUCGCCACCAGCACAACGGCCCUCCUCCUCGCCGUCUCCGCGGGCGUCGCGCACGCCGCACCGCCAUCGCCGCGCCAGCUCUCCACCGUCGUCAUCUCCCACACCGCCAACAGCACGCUCGUCUGCGCCCUCAUCGUCGACAGGGUCAACGAGGAUGGCGGCGGCAGCUCCAAGCUCCAGUGCAAGUCGCUGCCCGACGGCCGCCUCACGUCCUACCCCUCCGCCGACAUCCCCUUCAACGCCAUCGCCGCGGCAACGACUUCCUCUGCGGCCUCAUGGCACCCGUCGGCGCCGCCAUGCGCUGGUGGUCCUUAUCCGAGGAGGAGGCGGCCAAUUGGUCCUGCCCCGUAG